rnacentral:rRNA from 1 species
AUUGAACGCUGGCGGCAUGCUUUACACAUGCAAGUCGAACGGUAACAGGGGCUUCGGCCUGCUGACGAGUGGCGAACGGGUGAGUAAUGCGUCGGAACGCACCGAGUAAUGGGGGAUAACGCAGCGAAAGCUGUGCUAAUACCGCAUACGCUCCGAGGAGGAAAGCAGGGGAUCGUAAGACCUUGCGUUAUUCGAUCGGCCGACGUCUGAUUAGCUAGUAGGUGAGGUAAGAGCUCACCUAGGCGACGAUCAGUAGCGGGUCUGAGAGGAUGAUCCGCCACACUGGUACUGAGAAACGGCCCAGACUCCUACGGGAGGCAGCAGUGGGGAAUUUUGGACAAUGGGGGCAACCCUGAUCCAGCAAUGCCGCGUGAGUGAAGAAGGCCUUCGGGUUGUAAAGCUCUUUUGUCAGGGAAGAAACACCGGCUCUAACACAGUCCGGGAAUGACGGUACCUGAAGAAUAAGCACCGGCUAACUACGUGCCAGCCGCCGCCGUAACAC